rnacentral:rRNA from 1 species
UUGCCAGGGAAAUACGAGCCAAGCUUAAAACCCAAAGGACUUGACGGUACUUCAUACCCCCCCUAGAGGAGCCUGUCCUAUAAUCGAUAAUCCACGAUCAACCUCACCAUUAACUAGNUUUUCAGCUUGUAUACCUCCGUCGUCAGCUUACCACGUGAGCGCAACUAUAGUGAGCUUAAUGUUAUACCACCAACNCGUCNGGUCAAGGUGCAGCAUACGUUAUGGGAAGAGAUGGGCUACACUUUCUAUUAUAGAUUAUACGAAAAGCUAAAUAUGCAWUUCUAGCUGGANGGCGGAUUUAGAAGUAAAAAGAAAUCANAAUAUUCUUUUUAACCUGGCCUUGAAGNGNGNACACACCGCCCGUCACCCUCA